ensembl:lncRNA novel transcript
UGCCCACCACCACGCCCAGUUAAUUUUUUCUUGUAUUUUUAGUAGAGACGGGGUUUCACCGUGUUAGCCAGGAUGGUCUCGAUCUGACCUCAUGAUCUGCUCGCCUCGGACUCCCAAAGUUCUGGGAUUACAGGCGUGAACCACCAUGCCUCGCUGAAUGGGUAUUUCCAAGCCACCAUCUGGCCACACUUAGAGAAGCUCUGGAUUAAGAAGAGUUUCAGGCAUUCAAGAAAAGCAUCCCAUAUUCAUCCUCUUUGACAAAUUAUUAGAUCCUGGUUACCUUUAACCAGUUUAACGUAAAAUUUCAGAUUAUGUCUUCAUAAGAAUUUAUAACAAAUUUUUAAAUUUCAGAUUCCAUUGAAAAGCUGAUGAACAUCUAAAAAGAGAGAAGGUAGGGCUUAUCUCCAAAAUCAAAAUGGUAGUUGCUUUUUUAUCCUUGGGAGACUAGACUUGUCUUUAGGGUUCUUCAGUCCCUUCCAGAAGCCAGUUUUGUUUUUCCGUGUUUGUGUCUGUGGUAGACAGAAUUUUGGCCCCCAUUAAGCUGUGAAGUGUGUGGUAAGUUGUUAUAUAGCACUAGAAAACUAACAAAAUCUAAAUGUUUUCAUUUAAAAAAAUAUUUUGGGGCUGGGUGCGGUGGCUCAUGCCUGUAAUCCCAACACUUUGGAAGGGCAAGGUGGGCGGAUCAUGUGAGGCCAGGAAUUCAAGACCAGCCUGGCCAACAUGGCGAAACUCCAUCUCUACUAAAGAUACAAAAAAAUUAGCCAGACAUGGUGGCACGUGCCUGUAGUCCUAGCUACUCUCGAGGCUGAGGCAGGAUAAUUUCUUGAACCUGGGAGGCAGAGGUUGCAGUGAGCUGAGAUUGUGCCACUGCAUGCCAGCCUGGGCAACAGGGUGAGACUCUAUCUCAAAAUAUAAAAUAAAAUAAACAUUUUGGUCUAGAAUUUUGUUUUCUGUUUUGGUUCAGUUUGGUUUUUGGUAUUCUUAGACUUGAAUUCAUUGCUGGAUGAUUCUCUAUGUAGAAGUUCCCUGCCUCUCUUUGAAGACCACAUCAGAUGCCACUUCCUACAGGAAGCUUUCCCCAAGUGCUAAAGAUACUCUGGUGAAUAUGACAGACAAAGUUUCCCUCUGUCUACAUUGUAGAGGAGGCAAGCAGAUAAUACAGAAGUCAACAAAUAAAUAAAGAAAAUUCUCCAGACAGCAAUAAGUCCUACAGGGGGCAAACUUCCAGUAAUACGUGAGAAACAGAAAAAGGAAGCCCCUUUAGAAACAGUUACUAUUAAAGCCUUCGCUAAGAAUGUGAUUGUUGAGCUGAAACUUGGAUGAUGAGAAGGAAAAUGUGCCCAAGAAGGGAAAGAGCAAUUGCAAAAGCCCAGAGACUGGAGGGAACUUGAUAUGUUUUCUGAACAGGGUAAAAAAGGACUAUUUGACAAAGAAGCAGUAAAUGAGUGAGAAAGUACAGCCGAGGUCCGAUUAGCAGACAGAGGCCAAAUCAACUAACGUCUUGUAGAUCACAAUGAGGAUGUGGGUUUUAUUAUAUGUGUACUGGACAGCUAGUGGAUGUGGAAUAUUAUUGCAGCUUCUUCCAGACCAGACUCUUGCAGGAGUCAGAUCUUGGGAAAGGGGUUGUGUGAGGUUGGAGCUGUAGGAGGAUGCAGCUGCAGUCAGAACCAUGGCAGGCUGGCAGGGAUGAUGGGAAGGAGAGAAUAAGUAUUCCAACUGCUCUAAUCUUGCAGUCUCUUGCCAGUCCCUCCCGCUAGCUACAAAACAGAAAGGGAGAGGACAAAGCCACCUUGGUGAUGCAGUUAUCCAAGUGGUCAGCCUCACAGAAACAGGAGAGAAUGUGUUGGAGAGGGCAAAGGAGAUCAUUACACACAGACUUGCUGUUUUAAGUACCUACAAUGUCUUCUCAGCUAGCAGACUACUAGUUUAUCUUCAUAACUACCUACCAAAACCCACCCGGGCGGAGGGAGAUAAGUGGAGUUAAUGUAUUCUAAGGUUCUUCCAUUGUCCAGGAAGUAGUAAAAGUACUAAUUAAUACUAAACUAUUAUAAAUCAGGAAUGCAUGGUAUAAAUUCUAAGGUGAUCACUUAAAAAGGAGAUAAAAGAAUAUAUACCUAAAAGGCCAAUAGAAGGGGGAU